CUGACAUUUGGAAUACUUGUAGUCAAAGUGCUAUCAAAGUGAGACGAUUUACAACCUGCAUAAUGAAUGAAUGUCUCAUGCUAUUGAUACUCGUUCUGUUGCUUUUAUAAUUUCUGAAUUCGAUUUACAGAGAGCAGAACAGCCAGCCCAUCAGUUGACUCUACUGUUUUUACACCUACAACCAGCACAGUUGUCAUUUCAUCAGUUAACAAUACGACAACCGCUUUAGUUGACCAUU